rnacentral:rRNA from 1 species
AGAACGAACGCUGGCGGCAUGCCUAAUACAUGCAAGUCGAACGAGAUCUUCGGGUCUAGUGGCGCACGGGUGCGUAACGCGUGGGAAUCUACCCUUGGGUUCGGAAUAACAGUUGGAAACGACUGCUAAUACCGGAUGAUGACGAAAGUCCAAAGAUUUAUCGCCCAAGGAUGAGCCCGCGUAGGAUUAGCUAGUUGGUGAGGUAAAGGCUCACCAAGGCUACGAUCCUUAGCUGGUCUGAGAGGAUGAUCAGCCACACUGGGACUGAGACACGGCCCAG